GGAGGAUCUGGCAGGAGCCCUCUGCUCCUCAUUUGGGCGCCCUCAGGGACGCACGCCCAGGGGUGUUCUGGGAAAUUUAGCAGGGAAGGCCCAGUUCCUCAUGGACGUGAGACCUUCCCACCCAGCGUCUCCCCGAACACGGCCGGUAGUGUUCAGCCUUUCACCACUCCUUCUCUGCCACUCGACUUCUUGCCAGCUGGUGUCCAGUUACAUUUUGGCAAAGGUGGUCACCGGGCAGACCUGGAGAGAGGGAAGACAUGGAAGCCCUCUCUGCCCUCUGCAGUGGCAUCGUGAGACGUGGUCUCUGAAUAACAGAAGAUCUUCUUCAGAAACCUCAAGCUCCGAUGAUGCCUUCAGACCCAUGAAGAUGGAGUGUGAAAUUCCAUGAAUAUCGAGUCUAUUUUCUGGACCCCAGAGCUGUGCGUCUUCCUCUCUGUCGGGCUCAUUCUGAAGCACAGUCCCAGCAUCCAUAUGGCAGAUGCAGCAUCCACGUGGCAGAUGCUUCCUGGACACUCUUAACAGCAUCCACAUGGCAGACGCUUCCUGGACACUCUUAACAGUCACAGGACACUUGGGCUAGUCAGGACACAGAGGACACAGCAGGCUGCAGCUGCAGAGCUUGAAAAGAUUUAUUUUAAAAGCCCAAGGGGAUAAAUACAGCAUCUCUCACAUUACUCCAUACUUAAAAAUAUUUGGAUUAAUUAUAUUAAAAAUUUGCAUUCAAAAGCGUU
rnacentral:lncRNA from 1 species